GACGAACGCUGGCGGCGUGCCUAAUACAUGCAAGUUGAGCGCUGAAGGUUGGUACUUGUACCAACUGGAUGAGCAGCGAACGGGUGAGUAACGCGUGGGGAAUCUGCCUUUGAGCGGGGGACAACAUUUGGAAACGAAUGCUACUACCGCAUAAAAACUUUAAACACAAGUUUUAAGUUUGAAAGAUGCCAUUGCCUCACUCAAAGAUGAUCCCGCGUUGUAUUAGCUAGUUGGUGAGGUAAAGGCUCACCAAGGCGAUGAUACAUAGCCGACCUGAGAGGGUGAACGGCCACAUUGGGACUGAGGCACGGCCCAAGCUCCUACGGGAGGGAGCAGGAGGGAAUCUUCGGCAAUGGACGAAAGUCUUACCGAGCAACGCCGCGGGAGUGAAGAAGGGUUUCGGAUCGUAAAACUCUGUUGGUAGAGAAGAACGUGGGUGAGAGUGGAAAGCUCAUCAAGUGACGGUAACUACCCAGAAAGGGACGGCUAACUACGUG
rnacentral:rRNA from 1 species